GGAAAGGGGUAGAGAGCGAGACGGGGAAAGGGGUAGAGAGCGAGACGGGGAAAGGGGUAGAGCGCGAGACGGGGAAAGGGGUAGAGCGCGAGACGGGGAAAGGGCGAGAGCGCGAGACGGGGAAAGGGGUAGAGAGCGAGAGCGCGAGACGGGGAAAGGGGUAGAGAGAGCGCGCGAGACGGGGAAAGGGGUAGAGCGAGACGGGGAAAGGGGUAGAGCGAGACGGGGAAAGGGGUAGAGCGAGACGGGGAAAGGGGUAGAGCGAGACGGGGAAAGGGGUAGAGCGAGACGGGGAAAGGGGGGUAGAGAGAGCGAGACGGGGAAAGGGGUAGAGCGAGAGCGCGCGAGACGGGGAAAGGGGUAGAGCGAGACGGGGAAAGGGGUAGAGCGAGACGGGGAAAGGGGUAGAGCGAGACGGGGAAAGGGGUAGAGAGAGAGCGAGACGGGG
rnacentral:lncRNA from 1 species